rnacentral:antisense_RNA from 1 species
CAAUUUAUUUCUUAAAGAAUCAAUAACUUUAUGUAUACAAUUACUAAAACCUCCUGCAAUGAACUUAUCUUUGGG